rnacentral:rRNA from 1 species
GACGAACGCUGGCGGCGUGCUUAACACAUGCAAGUCGAACGGAAAGGCCCUGCUUUUGUGGGGUGCUCGAGUGGCGAACGGGUGAGUAACACGUGAGUAACCUGCCCUUGUCUUUGGGAUAAAUUCAGGAAACUGGGGCUAAUACAGGAUAGGAGCUCCUGCUGCAUGGUGGGGGUUGGAAAGUUUCGGCGGUGUGGGCUGGACUCGCGGGUUAUCAGCUUGUUGGUGGGGUAGUGGCUUACCAAGGCUUUGAAGGGUAGCCGGCCUGAGAGGGUGGCCGGCCACAUGGGGCCUGCGGUACGGCCCAGACUCCUACGGGAGGCAGCAGUGGGGAAUAUUGCACAAUGGGCGGAAGCCUGAUGCAGCGACGCCGCGUGCGGGAUGCCGUCCUUCUGGUUGUAAACCGCUUUCGCCUGUGACGAAGCGUGAGUGACGGUAAUGGGUAAAGAAGCACCGGCUAACUACGUG